GGGCCCGCACAAGCGGUGGAGCAUGUGGUUUAAUUCGAUGCAACGCGAAGAACCUUACCAUCCCUUGACAUCCAGUGAACUUUCUAGAGAUAGAUUGGUGCCUUCGGGAACACUGAGACAGGUGCUGCAUGGCUGUCGUCAGCUCGUGUUGUGAGAUGUUGGGUUAAGUCCCGCAACGAGCGCAACCCUUAUCCUUAGUUGCCAGCGAUUCGGUCGGGAACUCUGGGGAGACUGCCGGUGAUAAACCGGAGGAAGGUGGGGACGACGUCAAGUCAUCAUGGCCCUUACGGGAUGGGCUACACACGUGCUACAAUGGCGCGUACAAAGGGCAGCGAACCUGCGAGGGUAAGCGAAUCUCAUAAAGCGCGUCGUAGUCCGGAUUGGAGUCUGCAACUCGACUCCAUGAAGUCGGAAUCGCUAGUAAUCG
rnacentral:rRNA from 1 species